rnacentral:rRNA from 1 species
UACGUAGGAUGCGAGCGUUGUCCGGAAUUAUUGGGCGUAAAGAGCUUGUAGGCGGUCUGUCGCGUCUGCUGUGAAAAUCCGGGGCUCAACCCUGGACUUGCAGUGGGUACGGGCAGACUAGAGUGUGGUAGGGGAGACUGGAAUUCCUGGUGUAGCGGUGAAAUGCGCUGAUAUCAGGAGGAACACCGAUGGCGAAGGCAGGUCUCUGGGCCACUACUGACGCUGAGAAGCGAAAGCAUGGGGAGCGAACAGG